rnacentral:rRNA from 1 species
GACCUAUCAGCUUUCGACGGUAGUGUAUUGGACUACCGUGGCAGUGACGGGUAACGGGGAAUUAGGGUUCGAUUCCGGAGAGGGAGCCUGAGAAACGGCUACCACAUCUAAGGAAGGCAGCAGGCGCGCAAAUUACCCAAUCCUGACUCAGGGAGGUAGUGACAAGAAAUAACAACACUGGAAAUUUUAUUUCUAGUGAUUGGAAUGAUGGGAAUCUAAACCCCUUUCAGAGUAACAAUUGGAGGGCAAGUCUGGUGCCAGCAGCCGCGGUAAUUCCAGCUCCAAUAGCGUAUAUUAAAGUUGUUGCAGUUAAAAAGCUCGUAGUUGGAUAUCUGCUGGAAGCAAUCAGUCCGCCUUAUUUAGGGUGUGCACUUGAUGAAUUCUGGCAUCUAUUAUUCCUAAUAUUAUACUGAUGACUUUCAGUAGUCAUCAUUGGUGUUAGGAAUAAUACAGUUACUUUGAGAAAAUUAGAGUGUUUGAAGCAGGCUUAUUGCCUUGAAUACUGCAGC